GACGAAGGGGGCUAGCGUUGUUCGGAUUCAUUGGGCGUAAAGGGUGCGUAGGCGGCGCGGUAAGUCGGGUGUGAAAUCUCGGAGCUUAACUCCGAAACUGCAUUCGAUACUGCCGUGCUUGAGGACUGGAGAGGAGACUGGAAUUUACGGUGUAGCGGUGAAAUGCGUAGAUAUCGUAAGGAAGACCAGUGGCGAAGGCGGGUCUCUGGACAGUUCCUGACGCUGAGGCACGAAGGCCAGGGGAGCAAACGGG
rnacentral:rRNA from 1 species